rnacentral:rRNA from 1 species
GACGAACGCUGGCGGCGUGCUUAACACAUGCAAGUCGAACGGAAAGGCCCUGCUUUUGUGGGGUGCUCGAGUGGCGAACGGGUGAGUAACACGUGAGUAACCUGCCCUUGACUUUGGGAUAACUUCAGGAAACUGGGGCUAAUACCGGAUAGGAGCUCCUGCUUCAUGGUGGGGGUUGGAAAGUUUCGGCGGUUGGGGAUGGACUCGCGGCUUAUCAGCUUGUUGGUGGGGUAGUGGCUUACCAAGGCUUUGACGGGUAGCCGGCCUGAGAGGGUGACCGGCCACAUUGGGACUGAGCUACGACACAGACUACUACGGGAGGCAGCAGUGGGGAAUAUUGCACAAUGGGAGGAAGCCUGAUGCAGCCCAGCCGCGUGCGGGAUGACGGCCUUCGGGUUGUAAACCGCUUUCGCCUGUGACGAAGCGUGAGUGACGGUAAUGGGUAAAGAAGCACCGGCUAACUACGUG